AAUAAGCCAAUUUUUUAAUUUUUAUCUUUAAUUUUUGACUCUUCGUCUUAUUCAAUUUUUUUACGAUUAAUAUUUUUAUUUUUAUUAGAUGAUUAAUCAUGAAUAGUACUUUAUGUGUGACUAAUUUUUUUUAAUUUUCUAAAAAUUUUUUAAAUAAAACGGAUGGUCAAACGUUAGACACUAAAACCGAAG
rnacentral:pre_miRNA from 1 species